GUGCUCGCUUCGGCAGCACAUAUACUAAAAUUGAACGAUACAGUGAAGAUUAGCAUGGGCCCUGCACAAGGAUGACAUGCAAAAAUCUAUAAGCUCUGAUUUAUUUU